GUUUUUUCACACCCCAUAGAUUUUCUGAUUCGCCUGAGUGCUUUCGCAACAGGUUAGCCUUGGGUUUCCUUUAUUUGAUAAAAUUGCAGCCAUAUUUAAGAAAAUUCAAAUGCAAUAGCAGUUGUGCGAGUGAGUAAACUGUUCAGGUUCUUUUUUUUUACAGCUGUUUGAAACGUUCAAAUGUCAGUUUGGUAGUGUUACAAUAUUUUGAAAACACUCAUAAAAUUUGAUAAAGAUUUUAGCGAUUUGGUAACUUUACAUGAUAUUAAUUAUAGAGCAAUCAUUAAAUGUUAAAAGAUUCUACAAAUUACACCAACUUUUAAUUUAGAAAGAAAAAUAUAUAUAUUUACUCAGCGAUAAGAAAUAAAACAUUUAAGACAAAUGUAAGUUGUGCUGUAAUAGGAUGUAUCAAUAGUUCCUAUAGACUAAAAAAAUGAAAAAACAACACAAGUGGAAUAAAUUGUCUGAGUGGGGGUGUGAGGUACCAUUCCAAAUAUAUUAAUUUCUAUGUACAAAUAGAUAUUGUUUAAAAAAGAGAGCGCUGGAUUAGUCUGUAUAGAUGAAAAGAAGAAAAAAAAAGUGUUUAGAAGCCUGGAACUGCUGAUAGAGUAUGCUUCAAUUGUUUUAUUGGACCAACUGUAACAAACCCUAAUACUAAAUUAAAUAUAGGCUUUGACCAAUCUGAAUAGAAAAUUUCUAGUAGAACUUUAUUCAAACAAACAAUUAUUUCUUUACCAUCUUUCAAAGAAAAGUAACCUGAUGAACUUUUAUCGACUGAAAAAAAUCACAGAACUUCCAUGUGUUAAUUUUAUGCAGGCUCUAUAAGUCUACGUAAUAUUUGAUGACGUGUAUAUGGAAAAGUGUAUUUGGUGACGUGUAUUUGAUGAGUUUAACACUAACUAAAGUACUGUGAGUAAAAAUAUAAUCUAACAAAUUAAUUGAAAAAGUUGAAAACAAAAGAAACAGUUAUAACUAAACAAAGGUUUGAAAUGAAGUUUGUUAACAAUGACAACAGAAAAUGAACUUUUAUACUUUCACAUUGCUACUUUUAAGAUUUUUAUUAAGACCAUUUUUACUCACCAUUUAUUGUAAAGACCAUUUUUACUCUCCAUUGAUUAUGAAGAGAACCAAAGCAUUUUUGCAGCAAUGUUAGGCAAUUAAAAUCAAUUCUAAAUCUAAACUAUUUUCAAACAAAAGACUGUUUAAUGACACUAAACUUAAGGUUACAAUAUGGUUUGUUAAGUAAAAAUAUAGUUGAUUGGUUUUAGCAUUUCUAAA